GACGAACGCUGGCGGCGUGCUUAAUACAUGCCAGUUGAGCGAUGAAGAUUGGUGCUUGCACCAAUUUGAAGAGCAGCGAACGGGUGAGUAACGCGUGGGGAAUCUGCCUUUGAGCGGGGGACAACAUUUGGAAACGAAUGCUAAUACCGCAUAACAACUUUAAACAUAAGUUUUAAGUUUGAAAGAUGCAAUUGCAUCACUCAAAGAUGAUCCCGCGUUGUAUUAGCUAGUUGGUGAGGUAAAGGCUCACCAAGGCGAUGAUACAUAGCCGACCUGAGAGGGUGAUCGGCCACAUUGGGACUGAGACACGGCCCAAACUCCUACGGGAGGCAGCAGUAGGGAAUCUUCGGCAAUGGACGAAAGUCUGACCGAGCAACGCCGCGUGAGUGAAGAAGGUUUUCGGAUCGUAAAACUCUGUUGGUAGAGAAGAACGUUGGUGAGAGUGGAAAGCUCAUCAAGUGACGGUAACUACCCAGAAAGGGACGGCUAACUACGUG
rnacentral:rRNA from 1 species